GGAUAACCUACCCUUAGGACCGGGAUAACCUUGGGAAACUGAGGAUAAUACUGGAUAGGCAAUUAUUCCUGGAAUGGUUUUUUGUUUAAAUGUUUUUUCGCCUAAGGAUGGGUCUGCGGCCGAUUAGGUAGUUGGUUAGGUAACGGCUUACCAAGCCAUUGAUCGGUACGGGUUGUGAGAGCAAGAGCCCGGAGAUGGAACCUGAGACAAGGUUCCAGGCCCUACGGGGUGCAGCAGGCGCGAAACCUCCGCAAUGUGAGAAAUCGCGACGGGGGGAUCCCAAGUGCCAUUCUUAACGGGAUGGCUUUUCAUUAGUGUAAAGAGCUUUUGGAAUAAGGGCUGGGCAAGACCGGUGCCAGCCGCCGCGGUAACACCGGCAGCUCUAGUGGUAGCAGUUUUUAUUGGGCCUAAAGCGUCCGUAGCCGGUUUAAUAAGUCUCUGGUGAAAUCCUGUAGCUUAACUGUGGGAAUUGCUGGAGAUACUAUUAGACUUGAGACCGGGAGAGGUUAGAGGUACUCCCAGGGUAGAGGUGAAAUUCUGUAAUCCUGGGAGGACCGCCUGUUGCGAAGGCGUCUAACUGGAACGGUUCUGACGGUGAGGGACGAAAGUUAGGGGCGCGAACCGGAUUAGAUACCCGGGUAGUCCUAACCGUAAACGAUGCGGACUUGGUGUUGGGGUGGCUUUGAGCUGCUCCAGUGCC
rnacentral:rRNA from 1 species